UAAUUACGAGCUCAAUGGUAGAGUAGUCCACUCAUAAUGGAUGUUCCAAGGUUCAAUUCUAAGUAAUUCA